CACUAGUCUUUUAAGUUACUUAAAUAAAGUGAAAACAGCUUUCUUUAGAGAAAAAUAUUUUUAAUGUAGAAAAGAUGAAUAGCUGUAAUGAAAUACAAACCGUUCCUAUACACAGUAAACUUACUAAGAACUGCUAAUCCUUCUCCAGGUUCUUAGAAUCUGGGUACAGCAUUAUAGAAAGUAACCACGCUAUGAAAACACACACCCAAAACCCGAUGGGUGGCAAUUGUGAUAGAUUAGGAAGACAAAACAGAUUCAGAAGUAGCAGAGAAUACUGCACAUUUUCUUGGAAAAUUUCUUAAUUGUUCAGUGCUUUCUGACAAGUUUCCCCAGCCCAAUUUAUCUCUUAGCUAUUCUCUGCUACUUAGUCCUGUCUUCUGACAAUCAUCAUACGGGGACGAUCAUCUGCCUUACAGUGUAACAUGUUUUUCCUAACACAGCCGCAUUUUAUCUGCCCUAAGAGAAUAGCAACUAAUGGCUUUCAAUGAAGUCACCAUGAUUUAGAAAGUUUAAAACCACAAAUUUUCCAUGUGGUAAAACUUCUAAUUACUAACAUUGCACAUUCACCAGUCCGUUUAAAAGUUUGGUUUAAAAAUGCAUUAAAUAGAGUUCAAUUUAAUAUUCAGGAGAGGAAAAGGCACUUAAUACUGCAAUUUCCAGAAUAUAAUUUGUCUGUCUUCCCCUCCUGUGAUGAUACUGCUACACUGUUCAUUCAUCCAUAUACAUGUCACAGCACCUGAGAGAAAGACAUUUUGGUUAGUUAGGAAGUUGACCAGGAGGCACCCAAAGAUAAACUUUACUCUGAUGCUUACUCUUGCUUUGCUAUUCAUUUACUAAACAAGUGAAGUAAGUUCUAUUUUUUCUUGUCUGCUUCCUAUAAUAAAACCCUUGAAUAAAUUAAAAAUAAUUGCUUGGUACAAAGAUCUUGUGAGGAAUACUAAACCAUUUAAGUGUAAAUCUAAAGCUAAAACAACUGGGAAUUAUGGAUAUAGAACAAUGCAAAUAAAUACCUUGGCGAAGUAAGUACAAUACAGGUAUAACAUGACAAAAGUUGGGAGACAGAUGUGAAGGAAAAGGUGGGGUUAUUGGUGUAAGGUUAUUGGUUUAUUUCCUUUUCCACUGGAAGGGGUCAAAUCACAUUAAAGUUACUAAGUUGAGA
rnacentral:lncRNA from 1 species